rnacentral:rRNA from 1 species
ACUCGUCAGAAAAUCGAAAUCAUCUUCGGUUAAAUCCAAAACUUCCUCCGCCUGAAUGAGCUUAAUAGAGGCCAAAGCGGUCUGGAAACGUACGGAUUGUUCAGUAACUUGACUCAUGAUUUCUUACCUAUUAGUGGUUGAACAGCAUCGGACUCAGAUAGUAAUCCACGCUCUUUUAAAAUGUCAACAAG